rnacentral:rRNA from 1 species
GAUGAACGCUGGCGGCGUGCCUAAUACAUGCAAGUCGAGCGAACGGACGAGAAGCUUGCUUUUCUGAUGUUAGCGGCGGACGGGUGAGUAACACGUGGAUAACCUACCUAUAAGACUGGGAUAACUUCGGGAAACCGGAGCUAAUACCGGAUAAUAUUUUGAACCGCAUGGUUCAAAAGUGAAAGACGGUCUUGCUGUCACUUAUAGAUGGAUCCGCGCUGCAUUAGCUAGUUGGUAAGGUAACGGCUUACCAAGGCAACGAUGCAUAGCCGACCUGAGAGGGUGAUCGGCCACACUGGAACUGAGACACGGUCCAGACUCCUACGGGAGGCAGCAGUAGGGAAUCUUCCGAAAUGGGCGAAAGCCUGACGGAGCAACGCCGCGUGAGUGAUGAAGGUCUUCGGAUCGUAACUCUGUUAUUAGGGAAGAACAUAUGUGUAAGUAACUGUGCACAUCUUGACGGUACCUAAUCAGAAAGCCACGGCUAACUACGUG